rnacentral:rRNA from 1 species
GCUAUACAUGCAGUCGAGCGGACAGAUGGGAGCUUGCUCCCUGAUGUUAGCGGCGGACGGGUGAGUAACACGUGGGUAACCUGCCUGUAAGACUGGGAUAACUCCGGGAAACCGGGGCUAAUACCGGAUGGUUGUUUGAACCGCAUGGUUCAAACAUAAAAGGUGGCUUCGGCUACCACUUACAGAUGGACCCGCGGCGCAUUAGCUAGUUGGUGAGGUAACGGCUCACCAAGGCAACGAUGCGUAGCCGACCUGAGAGGGUGAUCGGCCACACUGGGACUGAGACACGGCCCAGACUCCUACGGGAGGCAGCAGUAGGGAAUCUUCCGCAAUGGACGAAAGUCUGACGGAGCAACGCCGCGUGAGUGAUGAAGGUUUUCGGAUCGUAAAGCUCUGUUGUUAGGGAAGAACAAGUACCGUUCGAAUAGGGCGGUACCUUGACGGUACCUAACCAGAAAGCCACGGCUAACUACGUGCCAGCAGCCGCGGUAAUACGUAGGUGGCAAGCGUUGUCCGGAAUUAUUGGGCGUAAAGGGCUCGCAGGCGGUUUCUUAAGUCUGAUGUGAAAGCCCCCGGCUCAACCGGGGAGGGUCAUUGGAAACUGGGGAACUUGAGUGCAGAAGAGGAGAGUGUAAUUCCACGUGUAG